UACAGAGGUCUCAAGCGUUGUUCGGAUUCAUUGGGCGUAAAGGGUGCGUAGGCGGCGCGGUAAGUCGGGUGUGAAAUCUUGGAGCUUAACUCCGAAACUGCAUUCGAUACUGCCGUGCUUGAGGACUGGAGAGGAGACUGGAAUUUACGGUGUAGCGGUGGAAUGCGUAGAUAUCGUAAGGAAGACCAGUGGCGAAGGCGGGUCUCUGGACAGUUCCUGACGCUGGGGGCA
rnacentral:rRNA from 1 species